rnacentral:rRNA from 1 species
AGUGAACGCUGGCGGUAGGCCUAACACAUGCAAGUCGAACGGCAGCACAGAGGAGCUUGCUCCUUGGGUGGCGAGUGGCGGACGGGUGAGGAAUACAUCGGAAUCUACUCUGUCGUGGGGGAUAACGUAGGGAAACUUACGCUAAUACCGCAUACGACCUACGGGUGAAAGCAGGGGACCUUCGGGCCUUGCGCGAUUGAAUGAGCCGAUGUCGGAUUAGCUAGUUGGCGGGGUAAAGGCCCACCAAGGCGACGAUCCGUAGCGGGUCUGAGGGGGGGCGCAGCCACACUGGGACUGAGACACGGGCCAGACUCCUACGGGAGGCAGCAGUGGGGAAUAUUGGACAAUGGGCGCAAGCCUGAUCCAGCCAUACCGCGUGGGUGAAGAAGGCCUUCGGGUUGUAAAGCCCUUUUGUUGGGAAAGAAAUCCAGCUGGCUAAUACCCGGUUGGGAUGACGGUACCCAAAGAAUAAGCACCGGUUAACUUCGUGCCAGCCGCCGCAGUAA